rnacentral:rRNA from 1 species
GUUAAAAAGCUCGUAGUUGGAUUUCUGCGGGGGCGGGGCGGCCGGUUGCUUACAGCAACUCGAGCUAGCACUUCCCCUGCAUCCUGCCGCGAACCGUGCUACCAUUAGUUUGGUGGCGCCGGGGAUCGGCUCGUUUACUUUGAGAAAAAUAGAGUGUUCAAAGCAGGCCACACGCCUUGAAUAAGUUAGCAUGGAAUAAUGAUAAAGGACUUCGGUUCUAUUUUGUUGGUGUUCGGGACUGAAGUAAUGAUUGAUAGGGACAGUUGGGGCGGCCCGUAUUCCAAAGCGAGAGGUGAAAUUCUUAGACCUUCGGAAGACGAACAGCUGCGAAAGCGUUCCGCAAGGAUGUUCCCUUUGAUCAAGAACGAAAGUUGGGGGAUCGAAGACGAUCAGAUACCGUCGUAGUCUCAACUAUAAACUAUACCAGCUAGGGAUCGGCCAACGUUUAAUUACACCG